rnacentral:rRNA from 1 species
AUUGAACGCUGGCGGCAUGCCUUACACAUGCAAGUCGAACGGCAGCACGGGUGCUUGCACCUGGUGGCGAGUGGCGAACGGGUGAGUAAUACAUCGGAACAUGUCCUGUAGUGGGGGAUAGCCCGGCGAAAGCCGGAUUAAUACCGCAUACGAUCUACGGAUGAAAGCGGGGGACCUUCGGGCCUCGCGCUAUAGGGUUGGCCGAUGGCUGAUUAGCUAGUUGGGGGGUUAAAGGCCUACCAAGGCGACGAUCAGUAGCUGGUCUGAGAGGACGACCAGCAACACUGGGACUGAGACACGGCCCAGACUCCUACGGGAGGCAGCAGUGGGGAAUUUUGGACAAUGGGCGAAAGCCUGAUCCAGCAAUGCCGCGUGUGUGAAGAAGGCCUUCGGGUUGUAAAGCACUUUUGUCCGGAAAGAAAUCCUUGGCCCUAAUACGGUCGGGGGAUGACGGUACCGGAAGAAUAAGCACCGGCUAACUACGUG